rnacentral:rRNA from 1 species
CCUACGGGAGGCAGCAGUGGGGAAUAUUGGACAAUGGGGGGAACCCUGAUCCAGCCAUGCCGCGUGUGUGAAGAAGGCCCUCGGGUUGUAAAGCACUUUCAGUGAGGAAGAACGCCUGGUGGUUAAUACCCAUCAGGAAAGACAUCACUCACAGAAGAAGCACCGGCUAACUCCGUGCCAGCAGCCGCGGUAAUACGGAGGGUGCGAGCGUUAAUCGGAAUUACUGGGCGUAAAGCGCGCGUAGGUGGCUUGAUAAGCCGGUUGUGAAAGCCCCGGGCUCAACCUGGGAACGGCAUCCGGAACUGUCAAGCUAGAGUGCAGGAGAGGAAGGUAGAAUUCCCGGUGUAGCGGUGAAAUGCGUAGAGAUCGGGAGGAAUACCAGUGGCGAAGGCGGCCUUCUGGACUGACACUGACACUGAGGUGCGAAAGCGUGGGUAGCAAACAGGAUUAGAAACCCUUGUAGUC